AAACGUAGGAGGCGAACGUUAUCCGGAUUUACUGGGCGUAAAGCGCGUGUAGGUGGUUUGGUAAGUAGGGCGUGAAAGCUCCUGGCUCAACUGGGAGAGGUCGUUCUAAACUGCCGGACUAGAGGAUGGUAGAGGGAGGUGGAAUUCCGGGUGUAGCGGUGGAAUGCGCAGAUAUCCGGAGGAACACCAGUGGCGAAAGCGGCCUCCUGGACCACUCCUGACACUCAGACGCGAAAGCUAGGGUAGCAAACGGGAUUAGAGACCCCGGUAGUCCUAGCCGUAAACGAUGUAGACUUGGCGUCGGUGGUUUAAUAUCCAUCGGUGUCGAAGCUAACGCGAUAAGUCUACCGCCUGGGGACUACGGCCGCAAGGUUAAA
rnacentral:rRNA from 1 species